ensembl:misc_RNA Metazoa_SRP Metazoan signal recognition particle RNA
GCCAGGUGUGGUGGCUCACACCUGUAAUCCCAGCUACUUGGGAGGUUGAGGCAGGAGAAUCGCUUGAACCCAGGAGACAGAGGUUGCAGUGAGCCAGGAUCGUGCCACUGCACUCUAGCCUGGGUGACAGAGCGAGAUUCCAUCUCAA